rnacentral:rRNA from 1 species
GAUGAACGCUAGCUACAGGCUUAACACAUGCAAGUCGAGGGGAACGAUAGAGAAAGCUUGCUUUUUCUAGGCGUCGACCGGCGCACGGGUGAGUAACGCGUGAGGAACCUGCCUCAAAGAGGGGGGACAACAGUUGGAAACGACUGCUAAUACCGCAUAAGCCCACAGCUCGGCAUCGAGCAGAGGGAAAAGGAGCAAUCCGCUUUGAGAUGGCCUCGCGUCCGAUUAGCUAGUUGGUGAGGUAACGGCCCACCAAGGCGACGAUCGGUAGCCGGACUGAGAGGUUGAACGGCCACAUUGGGACUGAGACACGGCCCAGACUCCUACGGGAGGCAGCAGUGGGGAAUAUUGCACAAUGGGGGAAACCCUGAUGCAGCGACGCCGCGUGGAGGAAGAAGGUCUUCGGAUUGUAAACUCCUGUUGUUGAGGAAGAUAAUGACGGUACUCAACAAGGAAGUGACGGCUAACUACGUG